rnacentral:rRNA from 1 species
UACGUAGGGUGCAAGCGUUGUCCGGAAUUAUUGGGCGUAAAGAGCUUGUAGGCGGUUUGUCGCGUCUGCUGUGAAAUUUCGGGGCUCAACCCCGAACUUGCAGUGGGUACGGGCAGACUAGAGUGUGGUAGGGGAGACUGGAAUUCCUGGUGUAGCGGUGAAAUGCGCAGAUAUCAGGAGGAACACCGAUGGCGAAGGCGGCAUCCUGGACCAACAUUGACGCUGAGGAGCGAAAGCCAGGGGAGCAAACGGG